UCAAGCAUGUUUUUUAUUGUUGGGUGAAAAGUACUGUAUCGAUUGAGUAGUUUUCACUCAACAGUUUAGUUUACUUCAAUAAGUUGCUGUUGGGUGAAAAUAAUUUUGUGUGUUGCAUGGCAGAAACUAUCGGUCAGAUUUGGAGCAUUACUCUCACGGUCGAAUCUCUAAAUAUACGUGCUUUUUGUUUAUAGGUACAACAAGCUUUUGAAAGGCUUCAACAACUUUGGAUUGAUGCUCGAUUGUAAAUGGAGAGAUGUGGAAAACAAGUAUGUGAGAGGAACAUUGCGGAUACUGAAAAAAUUAACUAACCGUGGAAUUAAACGUACAGCAGAUGAUGAUAAAUUAUCAGUCGAAGAGAUUCUGGCUACACCUUUGACUAAAUGAAUACAGAUAGUUCCUGGCAAAACAGACUACGAGGUCGUCAAACAAUAUAGUGAAUUAGCAUGCAUGCCGCACAUUGUAUGUGUGGCACCGGUAUUUAAGGAAGGACCUAUGUUUAUUGUAUUUGAUAAAAAUAUUUUGCCUUGCGGUCAUCGAUAUAUAGAGACU